UCAGUCGACUCCUACGGGGAGGCAGCAGUGGGGAAUAUUGCACAAUGGGGGAAACCCUGAUGCAGCCAUGCCGCGUGUGUGAAGAAGGCCUUCGGGUUGUUAAAGCACUUUCAGUAGGGAGGAAGGUAGUGUAGUUAACACCUGCAUUAUUUGACGUUACCUACAGAAGAAGCACCGGCUAACUCCGUGCCAGCAGCCGCGGUAAUACGGAGGGUGCGAGCGUUAAUCGGAAAUUACUGGGCGUAAAGCGCAUGCAGGCGGCCUGUUAAGUCAGAUGUGAAAGCCCGGGGCUUAACCUCGGAAUUGCAUUUGAAACUGGCAGGCUAGAGUCUUGUAGAGGGGGGUAGGAAUUUCAGGUGUAGCGGUGAAAUGCGUAGAGAUCUGAAGGAAUACCAGUGGCGAAGGCGGCCCCCUGGACAAAGACUGACGCUCAGAUGCGAAAGCGUGGGGAGCAAACAGGAUUAGAUACCCCUGGUAG
rnacentral:rRNA from 1 species